rnacentral:rRNA from 1 species
UACGUAGGUGGCAAGCGUUGUCCGGAAUUACUGGGUGUAAAGGGCGUGUAGGCGGGAAUGCCAGUCAGAUGUGAAAUUCCCAGGCUCAACCUGGGGACUGCACUUGAAACUGGGGGUCUUGAGUGCUGGAGAGGGAAGCGGAAUUCCUAGUGGAGAGGUGAAAUGCGUAGAUAUCAGGAGGACCACCGGUGGCGAAGGCGGCUUCCUGGACAGUUACUGACGCUGAGACGCGAAAGCGUGGGGAGCAAACAGG